ensembl:lncRNA novel transcript
GUCUAUUUUUAGGGAAUUUCACUAUAUGAUAUUUACUUUAUUGUCUUAUGAUACUGGAGUGAACCAAAAAGUACACCCUUACAAACAGAUAUUUCUAGAAUUAGUCACUCAAUCCUAGUUUGUAGAUUUAUUUUCUCUUUUAAAAUCCUACAAUCCAGAUGUUAUAAUUAAUAUAGGACCUAGUUAGAUUAUUUUAAAGUUCUAAUAACACAUUCACUAUGCAUUAAUUUCUUUUUAAUUUUUCAAAACAGCUUUGUUAAGGUAUAGUUAACAUAUAGUAAACUGUGAAGUUUGACUAGUUUUGCAAUUUAACUAGUUUUGAUAUAUGUAUGCACCUGUGAAAUAAUCCCUGCAGUCGGAUAAUGAAUAUAUCCAUUUUCUCCAAAAGAUUGCUCAUGCCAUUUUCCUAUGGCUCCCUCCCACACUUCUCCCACCCCUUCACACCACCCAUCCUCAGUCUGCCACUGCUUUGCUUUAUACCACUAUAGAUGAGGUUGCAUAUUUCCUGAAUGUUAUAUAAAGGGAAUAACAUAAUGUGUACUUGUUUUUGGUCUAGAUUCUGUCACUCAGCACAGUUAUUUUGAAAUUUUCCAUGGUGUAAUGUGUAACAAUAUUUUAUUCCUUUUUAUUGUUGGUUAGUAUUCAUCGCAUGACCGAUAGCACUAACCGUUUGUCUGUCCACUAACCUGUUGAUGGACAUAAAACAUACACAUAGACCAAUGGAACAGAAUACAGAACCCAGAAAUAAAUUCAUGCAUUUAUAGCCAAAUCAUUUUUUAUGAAGGUGCCAAGAACACACGUUGGGGAAACGAUAGUUUCUUCAAUAAACGAUGCUGGGAAAACUGGAUAUCCACAUACAGAAGAAUGAAACUAGUCUCCAAUCUCUCAGCAUCUAAAAAAAUCAACUCUACAUGUAUUAAAGAUGUAAUUGUAAGACCUGAAACUACUAGAAGAAAAUAUAGGUGGAAUGCAUCUUGAAAUUGGGCUAGACAAGAAGUUUUUAAAUAAAAACUCAGAAGCACAGGCAACAAAAGCAAAAACAGACAAAAAAAUUACAUUGAACUAAAAAGCUUCUGCCCAGCAAAAGAAACAAUAGAGUGAAGAAACAACCUACAGAAUGGGAGAAAAUAUUUUCAAACUAUGUGUCUGACAAAGGGUUAAUAUUCUGAAUAUAUAAGGAACUCAACUCAAUAGCAAAAAAUCAAAUAAACUAAUUUAAAAAUGGACAAAAGGACUGAACAGACAUUUCUCAAAAGAAGACAUAUAUAUGGCCAACAGAUGUAUGAAAAACUGCUCAACAACAUGAACAUCAGAGAAAUGCAAAUUAAAACCAUGACAAAAUACCACCUUAUCCCAGUGAGAAUGGGAUAGAACUACAACUCUAACUGGCUUUAGCAAUGAAGAAAAUUUCUGGUUUCACAUCUUUCAAGGGUCCAGAGGUGGCUACAGAUUCAGGAGACUUGCACCAGGAGGAACUGGCAAAUUUCCUUGGCAAGAACAGAUGAAUAAAUAAGAAGCAUGAGCUUGCGACUUUUAGCUGGGGUGAUUCGUCAAAAACCACAGCACUGUGGCUGUUUUCAGAUUUUAAGGGUUAUGUUCAACCUCAAUCA